rnacentral:rRNA from 1 species
GACGAACGCUGGUGGCGUGCCUAAUACAUGCAAGUAGAACGCUGAAGGAGGAGCUUGCUUCUCUGGAUGAGUUGCGAACGGGUGAGUAACGCGUAGGUAACCUGCCUGGUAGCGGGGGAUAACUAUUGGAAACGAUAGCUAAUACCGCAUAAGAGUAGAUGUUGCAUGACAUUUGCUUAAAAGGUGCAAUUGCAUCACUACCAGAUGGACCUGCGUUGUAUUAGCUAGUUGGUGAGGUAACGGCUCACCAAGGCAACGAUACAUAGCCGACCUGAGAGGGUGAUCGGCCACACUGGGACUGAGACACGGCCCAGACUCCUACGGGAGGCAGCAGUAGGGAAUCUUCGGCAAUGGACGGAAGUCUGACCGAGCAACGCCGCGUGAGUGAAGAAGGUUUUCGGAUCGUAAAGCUCUGUUGUAAGAGAAGAACGAGUGUGAGAGUGGAAAGUUCACACUGUGACGGUAUCUUACCAGAAAGGGACGGCUAACUACGUG